UUAACCUAUUUUGUUUGAGUAGGAUGUUCUCUAAAAUUUGAGUAUUUAUUGUAGGUGUGAGUUCAAGAUAAUUUGAAGGAUCAGAAUUCCAAGAAAUGAAAGAAUAUUAGUUUAAACAAAUUAGAAAGGCCUGCUUGGGAUUGGUGGCUACUGGAGCCUAACAGGGCAUAAGGAAGAGAAAGCUUCAAUGUGGAUGAAGAAAGACUUCUGCAGGAGAAAAAAAAAUGAGGGCUCAGCAAAUAACUAUUUUGAAACCCAAAUGAAGAAUUUUUCAGAUAGGCUGCAAAUGAGAGUCCUACUUAUCAAACCUAAGAGAACUAUGCUAAAUGUACCCUCCGUUCUAUAUCACUCCCUAACAAACUCAGAAAUCUAAAUAAAAAUGAAAAUUAUACAUCA